CUACGGGACGCUGCAGUGGGGAAUAUUGCACAAUGGAGGAAACUCUGAUGCAGCAACGCCGCGUGGAGGAUGACACUUUUCGGAGCGUAAACUCCUUUUAUAUAGGAAGAAGAUGACGGUACUAUAUGAAUAAGCGCCGGCUAACUCCGUGCCAGCAGCCGCGGUAAUACGGAGUGCGCAAGCGUUACUCGGAAUCACUGGGCGUAAAGAGCGUGUAGGCGGAUUAAAAAGUCAGAAGUGAAAUCCUAUAGCUUAACUAUAGAACUGCUUCUGAAACUCUUAAUCUAGAAUAUGGGAGAGGUAGAUGGAAUUUCUGGUGUAGGGGUAAAAUCCGUAGAGAUUAGAAGGAAUACCGAUUGCGAAGGCGAUCUACUAGAACAUUAUUGACGCUGAGACGCGAAAGCGUGGGGAGCAAACAGGAUUAGAUACCCGAGUAGUC
rnacentral:rRNA from 1 species